UCCCUGGCAGCUCAGUGGUUAGGAUGCUACACUUCCACUGUAGGGACCUCGGGUUCAAUCCCUGGUCAGGGAA
rnacentral:tRNA from 1 species